rnacentral:rRNA from 1 species
AGAGUUUGAUCAUGGCUCAGAUUGAACGCUGGCGGCAGGCCUAACACAUGCAAGUCGAACGGUAACAGGAAGAAGCUUGCUUCUUUGCUGACGAGUGGCGGACGGGUGAGUAAUGUCUGGGAAACUGCCUGAUGGAGGGGGAUAACUACUGGAAACGGUAGCUAAUACCGCAUAACGUCGCAAGACCAAAGAGGGGGACCUUCGGGCCUCUUGCCAUCGGAUGCGCCCAGAUGGGAUUAGCUAGUAGGUGGGGUAACGGCUCACCUAGGCGACGAUCCCUAGCUGGUCUGAGAGGAUGACCAGCCACACUGGAACUGAGACACGGUCCAGACUCCUACGGGAGGCAGCAGUGGGGAAUAUUGCACAAUGGGCGCAAGCCUGAUGCAGCCAUGCCGCGUGUAUGAAGAAGGCCUUCGGGUUGUAAAGUACUUUCAGCGGGGAGGAAGGGAGUAAAGUUAAUACCUUUGCUCAUUGACGUUACCCGCAGAAGAAGCACCGGCUAACUCCGUGCCAGCAGCCGCGGUAAUACGGAGGGUGCAAGCGUUAAUCGGAAUUACUGGGCGUAAAGCGCACGCAGGCGGUUUGUUAAGUCAGAUGUGAAAUCCCCGGGCUCAACCUGGGAACUGCAUCUGAUACUGGCAAGCUUGAGUCUCGUAGAGGGGGGUAGAAUUCCAGGUGUAGCGGUGAAAUGCGUAGAGAUCUGGAGGAACACCGGUGGCGAAGGCGGCCCCCUGGGCGAAGACUGACGCUCAGGUGCGAAAGCGUGGGGAGCAAACAGGAUUAGAUACCCUGGUAGUCCACGCCGAAAACGAUGUCGACUUGGAGGUUGUGCCCUUGAGGCGUGGCUUCCGGAGCUAACGCGUUAAGUCGACCGCCUGGGGAGUACGGCCGCAAGGUUAAAACUCAAAUGAAUUGACGGGGGCCCGCACAAGCGGUGGAGCAUGUGGUUUAAUUCGAUGCAACGCGAAGAACCUUACCUGGUCUUGACAUCCACGGAAGUUUUCAGAGAUGAGAAUGUGCCUUCGGGAACCGUGAGACAGGUGCUGCAUGGCUGUCGUCAGCUCGUGUUGUGAAAUGUUGGGUUAAGUCCCGCAACGAGCGCAACCCUUAUCCUUUGUUGCCAGCGGUCCGGCCGGGAACUCAAAGGAGACUGCCAGUGAUAAACUGGAGGAAGGUGGGGAUGACGUCAAGUCAUCAUGGCCCUUACGACCAGGGCUACACACGUGCUACAAUGGCGCAUACAAAGAGAAGCGACCUCGCGAGAGCAAGCGGACCUCAUAAAGUGCGUCGUAGUCCGGAUUGGAGUCUGCAACUCGACUCCAUGAAGUCGGAAUCGCUAGUAAUCGUGGAUCAGAAUGCCACGGUGAAUACGUUCCCGGGCCUUGUACACACCGCCCGUCACACCAUGGGAGUGGGUUGCAAAAGAAGUAGGUAGCUUAACCUUCGGGAGGGCGCUUACCACUUUGUGAUUCAUGACUGGGGUGAAGUCGUAACAAGGUAACCGUAGGGGAACCUGCGGUUG